CAGUAGCCGCGGGAAUACGUAGGUGGCAAGCGUUGUCCGGAAUUAUUGGGCGUAAAGGGCUCGCAGGCGGUUUCUUAAGUCUGAUGUGAAAGCCCCCGGCUCUACCGGGGAGGGUCAUUGGAAACUGGGAAACUUGAGUGCAGAAGAGGAGAGUGGAAUUCCACGUGUAGCGGUGAAAUGCGUAGAGAUGUGGAGGAACACCAGUGGCGAAGGCGACUCUCUGGUCUGUAACUGACGCUGAGGAGCGAAAGCGUGGGGAGCGAACAGGAUUAGAUACCCCCGUAGUCCCUGUCUCUUAUAA
rnacentral:rRNA from 1 species